AGAGUUUGAUCCUGGCUCAGGAUGAACGCUGGCGGCGUGCCUAAUACAUGCAAGUCGAGCGAACGGACGAGAAGCUUGCUUCUCUGAUGUUAGCGGCGGACGGGUGAGUAACACGUGGAUAACCUACCUAUAAGACUGGGAUAACUUCGGGAAACCGGAGCUAAUACCGGAUGAUAUUUUGAACCGCAUGGUUCAAAAGUGAAAGACGGUCUUGCUGUCACUUAUAGAUGGAUCCGCGCUGCAUUAGCUAGUUGGUAAGGUAACGGCUUACCAAGGCAACGAUGCAUAGCCGACCUGAGAGGGUGAUCGGCCACACUGGAACUGAGACACGGUCCAGACUCCUACGGGAGGCAGCAGUAGGGAAUCUUCCGCAAUGGGCGAAAGCCUGACGGAGCAACGCCGCGUGAGUGAUGAAGGUCUUCGGAUCGUAAAACUCUGUUAUUAGGGAAGAACAUAUGUGUAAGUAACUGUGCACAUCUUGACGGUACCUAAUCAGAAAGCCACGGCUAACUACGUGCCAGCAGCCGCGGUAAUACGUAGGUGGCAAGCGUUAUCCGGAAUUAUUGGGCGUAAAGCGCGCGUAGGCGGUUUUUUAAGUCUGAUGUGAAAGCCCACGGCUCAACCGUGGAGGGUCAUUGGAAACUGGAAAACUUGAGUGCAGAAGAGGAAAGUGGAAUUCCAUGUGUAGCGGUGAAAUGCGCAGAGAUAUGGAGGAACACCAGUGGCGAAGGCGACUUUCUGGUCUGUAACUGACGCUGAUGUGCGAAAGCGUGGGGAUCAAACAGGAUUAGAUACCCUGGUAGUCCACGCCGUAAACGAUGAGUGCUAAGUGUUAGGGGGUUUCCGCCCCUUAGUGCUGCAGCUAACGCAUUAAGCACUCCGCCUGGGGAGUACGACCGCAAGGUUGAAACUCAAAGGAAUUGACGGGGACCCGCACAAGCGGUGGAGCAUGUGGUUUAAUUCGAAGCAACGCGAAGAACCUUACCAAAUCUUGACAUCCUUUGACAACUCUAGAGAUAGAGCCUUCCCCUUCGGGGGACAAAGUGACAGGUGGUGCAUGGUUGUCGUCAGCUCGUGUCGUGAGAUGUUGGGUUAAGUCCCGCAACGAGCGCAACCCUUAAGCUUAGUUGCCAUCAUUAAGUUGGGCACUCUAAGUUGACUGCCGGUGACAAACCGGAGGAAGGUGGGGAUGACGUCAAAUCAUCAUGCCCCUUAUGAUUUGGGCUACACACGUGCUACAAUGGACAAUACAAAGGGCAGCGAAACCGCGAGGUCAAGCAAAUCCCAUAAAGUUGUUCUCAGUUCGGAUUGUAGUCUGCAACUCGACUACAUGAAGCUGGAAUCGCUAGUAAUCGUAGAUCAGCAUGCUACGGUGAAUACGUUCCCGGGUCUUGUACACACCGCCCGUCACACCACGAGAGUUUGUAACACCCGAAGCCGGUGGAGUAACCUUUUAGGAGCUAGCCGUCGAAGG
rnacentral:rRNA from 1 species